rnacentral:rRNA from 1 species
CCCAGACUCCUACGGGAGGCAGCAGUGGGGGAUAUUGCACCAUGGGGGCAACCCUGCUGCAGCGACGCCGCUUGAGCGAUGGCGUACUUCGGUAUUUCCCGCUCUGUCAGCCUUGAAGAGAAUGCCGGUACCUGACCCCUCCGCCCCGGCUCCCUCCGUGCCAUCCUCCUCGGUAAUCCUUCUGGGGCAAGCGUUCUCCGGAUUUCCUGGGUGUAAAGGGAGCGUAGGCGGCAGGGCAAGCCUGAUGUGAAAGCCCGGGGCGCAACCCCGGGACUGCAUUGGGAACUGCCCCGCUCGAGUGCCGGAGGGGCAGGCGGAAUUCCUAGUGUAGCGGUGAAAUGCGUAGAGAUGAGGAGGAACACCAGUGGCGAAGGCGGCCGGCUGGACGGUGUACUGACGCUGAGGCUCGAAAGCGUGGGGAGCAAACAGGAUUAGAUACCCCUGUU